AAUCAGUUAUCGUUUAUUUGAUAGUACCUUACUACUUGGAUAACCGUGGUAAUUCUAGAGCUAAUACAUGCUAAAAACCCCGACUUCGGGAGGGGUGUAUUUAUUAGAUAAAAAACCAAUGCCCUUCGGGGCUCCUUGGUGAAUCAUGAUAACUUAACGAAUCGCAUGGCCUUGCGCCGGCGAUGGUUCAUUCAAAUUUCUGCCCUAUCAACUUUCGAUGGUAGGAUAGUGGCCUACCAUGGUAUCAACGGGUAACGGGGAAUUAGGGUUCUAUUCCGGAGAGGGAGCCUGAGAAACGGCUACCACAUCCAAGGAAGGCAGCAGGCGCGCAAAUUACCCAAUCCCGACACGGGGAGGUAGUGACAAUAAAUACUGAUACAGGGCUCUUUUGGGUCUUGUAAUUGGAAUGAGUACAAUUUAAAUACCUUAACGAGGAACAAUUGGAGGGCAAGUCUGGUGCCAGCAGCCGCGGUAAUUCCAGCUCCAAUAGCGUAUAUUAAAGUUGUUGCAGUUAAAAAGCUCGUAGUUGAACCUUGGGCCUGGCUGGCCGGUCUGCCUCACCGCAUGUACUGGUUCGGCCGGGCCUUUCCUCCUGGGGAUCCGCAUGCCCUUCACUGGGUGUGUUGGGGAACCAGGACUUUUACUUUGAAAAAAUUAGAGUGUUCAAAGCAGGCCUUUGCUCGAAUACAUUAGCAUGGAAUAAUAGAAUAGGACGUGCGGUCCUAUUUUGUUGGUUUCUAGGACCGCCGUAAUGAUUAAUAGGGAUAGUCGGGGGCAUCAGUAUUCAGUUGUCAGA
rnacentral:rRNA from 1 species